UGAUGACAUAUUCUCCGGAAUCUCUGUACUGCCUCUGAUGAAAGUACAUUUGAACCCUUUUCCAUCUGAUGACUGUUGUGAUCUUUCUCAUU
ensembl:snoRNA